UCCUAACUAUGGUGCAAUCUUUCGUGUC
rnacentral:piRNA from 1 species